rnacentral:rRNA from 1 species
UGCAAGUCGAACGGAGCUUAGAGAGCUUGCUUUUUAAGCUUAGUGGCGAACGGGUGAGUAACGCGUGAGUAACCUGCCCUAGAGUGGGGGACAACAGUUGGAAACGACUGCUAAUACCGCAUAAGCCCACGGUACCGCAUGGUACUGAGGGAAAAGGAUUUAUUCGCUUUAGGAUGGACUCGCGUCCAAUUAGCUAGUUGGUGAGGUAACGGCCCACCAAGGCGACGAUUGGUAGCCGGACUGAGAGGUUGAACGGCCACAUUGGGACUGAGACACGGCCCAGACUCC